UGAAUGCACAUAAACCUUCAA
rnacentral:piRNA from 1 species